CGCGAUCUGAGGAGCGGCGACGGGAGCUGCGGAUGCGCGAUCUGAGGAGCGGCGCUGCGCCAGGACGGGACCCCAGUGGCUGCUGAUCGGGGGAGCGCUGGUUGGUGGCUUUGUGAAUAUCAGUUACCUUCUGGAGGUCUCAAUGGACGACCAGAGAAGGUGGAUCCAUUUGACACCUUAUUUGGUAUUGCUGGACAAUCUUUAUUAGGAGAAGAACAAAUUAAGGCUGUCAAUCCUGUCUUUUGUAUGCCAGAAGACGUCCUUCGAAGAAUAAACGUACAGCCUGAGCUUGUAAGCUAAGCCUCGUAAAAGACAAAAGCUUUGUAUUGCUUUUUGGUUUUACUAAUUUAUAAUCUGAUCUGUGAAACUGUCAGCAUAUUCUUCUUUCAGAUGUGUUUACAUUAUGGAAGUAAAGCAAUAGCUUUGCUAUGGACUUUGUCACUUUAUAAAUUGUUUCAGAACAGGCUGGUUCUCUUAAUCUGAGUGUAACAUGUUAUUUUGUUGUAUUCUAAGUUGUGUAGAAACAUUUCAAUUCUGUAUUUAAAUGUAUGGGCCUUGGCUUUUUUUUUUUUUUAAUAUAAUAUUCAAAUCAGAGCUUGACUGUGUGAAUGCUUAACUUUUCUAUUCCUGUAAUAUCAACUAUGCUAGUACUGGUCUUCAUACAGGCCUCUUUUGAUGGGGGAUCAUGCAAAGCACUUUAAAAAAACAAAAAAAAACACCCCAAACCAAACAAACCAAUAAAAUCCUACCUGAAGCAUGCACACUUACCACACACUUACAUAUUUAAUUAUUCCUGUUCACAUUUGCCAUCACUUUUCUAUACUGAGAAACAGCUGCUUCUUCUCACAGUAAUUGAUACCAGUAAUACCGUAAUACCAUAGUUAUGGUUCUUUUAAAUAUACAGAUGUCUUCAUUUAUUGAUGAGUCCCUUAAACAAAAUUCCACUGAUGCCUGAGAUACAGCACAUCUUGAGUAUGUAGAGUGAAACUUGCUAGCAUUAAACAUUCUAGAGAAGGUCCCUGUUGGAUGGUGACUUGUAACUGAACAUAGAGUUGAUGCUAAAUCUCUUGCUGGGUUGAAAUCCUGAUUUUGUAGCUUUUAAGACACUAAUUGACAACACUUGAUUUUGGUGUAGUUGGAAAUAAAAUAAGCUGUGG